UAGACCGCCUGGGGAGUACGGCCGCAAGGUUAAAACUCAAAUGAAUUGACGGGGGCCCGCACAAGCGGUGGAGCAUGUGGUUUAAUUCGAUGCAACGCGAAGAACCUUACCUGGUCUUGACAUCCACGGAAGUUUUCAGAGAUGAGAAUGUGCCUUCGGGAACUGUGAGACAGGUGCUGCAUGGCUGUCGUCAGCUCGUGUUGUGAAAUGUUGGGUUAAGUCCCGCAACGAGCGCAACCCUUAUCCUUUGUUGCCAGCGGUUAGGCCGGGAACUCAAAGGAGACUGCCAGUGAUAAACUGGAGGAAGGUGGGGAUGACGUCAAGUCAUCAUGGCCCUUACGACCAGGGCUACACACGUGCUACAAUGGCGCAUACAAAGAGAAGCGACCUCGCGAGAGCAAGCGGACCUCAUAAAGUGCGUCGUAGUCCGGAUUGGAGUCUGCAACUCGACUCCAUGAAGUCGGAAUCGCUAGUAAUCGUGGAUCAGAAUGCCACGGUGAAUACGUUCCCGGGCCUUGUACACACCGCCCGUCACACCAUGGGAGUGGGUUGCAAAAGAAGUAGGUAGCUUAACCUUCGGGAGGGCGCUUACCACUUUGUGAUUCAUGACUGGGGUGAAGUCGUAACAAGGUAACCGUAGGGGAACCUGCGGUUGGAUCACCUCCUUACCUUAAAGAA
rnacentral:rRNA from 1 species